rnacentral:rRNA from 1 species
AAGAGGAGUGGCGAACGGGUGAGUAACACGUGGGUAACCUGCCCAUCAGAAGGGGAUAACACUUGGAAACAGGUGCUAAUACCGUAUAACAAUCAAAACCGCAUGGUUUUGAUUUGAAAGGCGCUUUCGGGUGUCGCUGAUGGAUGGACCCGCGGUGCAUUAGCUAGUUGGUGAGGUAACGGCUCACCAAGGCCACGAUGCAUAGCCGACCUGAGAGGGUGAUCGGCCACAUUGGGACUGAGACACGGCCCAAACUCCUACGGGAGGCAGCAGUAGGGAAUCUUCGGCAAUGGACGAAAGUCUGACCGAGCAACGCCGCGUGAGUGAAGAAGGUUUUCGGAUCGUAAAACUCUGUUGUUAGAGAAGAACAAGGAUGAGAGUAACUGUUCAUCCCUUGACGGUAUCUAACCAGAAAGCCACGGCUAACUACGUGCCAGCAGCCGCGGUAAUACGUAGGUGGCAAGCGUUGUCCGGAUUUAUUGGGCGUAAAGCGAGCGCAGGCGGUUUCUUAAGUCUGAUGUGAAAGCCCCCGGCUCAACCGGGGAGGGUCAUUGGAAACUGGGAGACUUGAGUGCAGAAGAGGAGAGUGGAAUUCCAUGUGUAGCGGUGAAAUGCGUAGAUAUAUGGAGGAACACCAGUGGCGA